rnacentral:tRNA from 1 species
UGGCUCAGAUGGUAGAACGUCUGCCUACAAUGCAGGAGACCCAGGUUCAAUCCCUGG